AAUAUGGGUGAAAGCCUGACGGAACAAUGCCACGUAGAGGUAGAAGGCCCACGGGUCGUGAACUUCUUUUCCCAAAGAAGAAGCAAUGACGGUAUCUGGGGAAUAAGCAUCGGCUAACUCUAUGCCAGCAGUCGCGAUAAGACAGAGGAUGCAAGCGUUAUCCGAAAUGAUUGGGCAUAAAGCAUCUGUAGUUGGCUUUUUAAGUUCGUCAUCAAAUCCCAGGGCUCAACCCUGGAUAGGGGCUGAAAACUACCAAGCUGGAGUACGGUAGGGGCAGAGGAAAUUUUCAGUGGAGCGGCGAAAUGCAUAGAGAUCAGAAAGAACACCAACGAUGAAAGCACUCUACUGGGCCGACACUGACACUGAGAGACGAAAGCUCGGGGCAAGUGGAUCAUUUAUGAUGAAGAGGAUGAGCUUCAAGAGAAUGAUUUGGAGUUCUUGCAGAGUAGAACCAUGCAGUAUCAGACGUGAGAUAGAUCUUCCAAAGAACAAGGCCUUUUUCGAAUAAGCCAAUUCAUUUGGGACCCUGCAGAUCCACUCUU
rnacentral:rRNA from 1 species